rnacentral:rRNA from 1 species
UGGGGGAUAUUGCACAAUGGGCGAAAGCCUGAUGCAGCGACGCCGCGUGGGGGAUGAAGGCUUUCGGGUUGUAAACCUCUUUCGCUAUCGAACAAGGCUCGCUUAGGGUGGGUUGAGGGUAGGUGGAGAAGAAGCGCCGGCUAACUACGUGCCAGCAGCCGCGGUAAUACGUAGGGCGCGAGCGUUGUCCGGAAUUAUUGGGCGUAAAGGGCUUGUAGGCGGCUUGUUGCGCCUGCUGUGAAAACGCGGGGCUUAACUUCGCGCGUGCAGUGGGUGCGGGCAGGAUUGGGUGUGGUAGGGGUGACUGGAAUUCCGGGUGUGGCGGUGGAAUGCGGAGAUAUCUGGAGGAACACCGAUGGCGAAGGCGGCCCCCUGGGCAAAGACUGACGCUCAGGUGCGAAAGCGGGGGGAGCAAACAGG